UCCGUCUGUCCGUUCGUCUGUUCGUCCGUCCGUUCAUUCGUCCGUUCGGACGAACGGACGGACGAACGGACGGACGAACGGACGGACGAACGGACGGACGAA
rnacentral:pre_miRNA from 1 species